rnacentral:rRNA from 1 species
GAUGAACGCUGGCGGCGUGCCUAAUACAUGCAAGUCGAGCGAGCGGACGAGAAGCUUUCUUCUCUGAUGUUAUCGGCUGACGGGUGAGUAAGACGUGGAUAAACUACCUAUAAUACUGGGAUAACUUCGGGAAACCGGAGCUAAUACCGGAUGAUAUUUUUAACAGCAUGGUUCAAAAGUGAAAGGCGAUCUUGCUGUCACUUAAAGAUGUAUCGGCGCUGAAUUAGCUAGUUGGUAAGGUAACGGCUUACCAAGGCAACGAUGCAUAGCCGACCUGAGGGGGUGAUCGGCCACACUGAACCUGAGACACGGUCCAGACUCCUACGGGAGGCAGCAGUAGGGAAUCUUCCGCAUUGGGCGAAAGCCUGACGGAGCAACGCCGCGUGAGUGAUGAAGGUCUUCGGAUCGUAAAACUCUGUUAUUAGGGAAGAACAUAUGUGUAAGUAACUGUGCACAUCUUGACGGUACCUAAUCAGAAAGCCACGGCUAACUACGUG